CAGUAGGGAAUUUUCGGCAAUGGGGGAAACCCUGACCGAGCAAUGCCGCGUGAAUGAUGAAAUUCUUCGGAAUGUAAAAUUCUGUUGUGAGGGAAGAAAGGUAGUAUCAGGAAAUGGGUAUUACUUGACGGUACCUUACUAGAAAGCCCCGGCUAACUAUGUGCCAGCAGCCGCGGUAAUACAUAGGGGGCGAGCGUUAUCCGGAAUUAUUGGGCGUAAAGCGUGCGUAGGUGGCCGUUUAAGUCUGUCGUGAAAGCCCACAGCUUAACUGUGGAGGGUCGAUGGAAACUGGAUGGCUUGAAUCUAGAAGAGGUAAGUGGAAUUCCAUGUGUAGCGGUAAAAUGCUUAGAUAUAUGGAGGAACACCAGUGGCGAAGGCGGCUUACUGGUCUAGCAUUGACGCUGAGGCACGAAAGCGUAGGUAGCAAACAGGAUUAGAUACCCUGGUAGUCUACGCUGUAAACGAUGAGCACUAAGUGUCGGACGUAAGUUCGGUGCUGUAGUUAACGCAUUAAGUGCUCCGCCUGGGGAGUACGGUCGCAAGACUGAAACUCAAAGGAAUUGACGGGGACUCGCACAAGCGGUGGAGCAUGUGGUUUAAUUCGACGCAACGCGAAAAACCUUACCAGGCCUUGACAUCCCUAUGACCGCUCUAGAGAUAGAGUUUCCUCUUCGGAGGUAUAGGUGACAGGUGGUGCAUGGUUGUCGUCAGCUCGUGUCGUGAGAUGUUGGGUUAAGUCCCGCAACGAGCGCAACCCUUAUCAUUAGUUGCUAACAUUAAGUUGAGCACUCUAAUGAGACUGCCAGCGACAAGUUGGAGGAAGGUGGGGAUGACGUCAAAUCAUCAUGCCCCUUAUGGCCUGGGCUACACACGUGCUACAAUGGCCGGUACAAAGAGCAGCGAAAUUGUGAAAUGGAGCAAAUCUCAAAAAGCCGGUCUCAGUUCGGAUUGUAGUCUGCAACUCGACUACAUGAAGUUGGAAUCGCUAGUAAUCGUGGAUCAGCAUGCCACGGUGAAUACGUUCUCGAGUCUUGUACACACCGCCCGUCACACCAUGAGAGUUUGUAAUACCCGAAGCCGGUGGCUUAACCGCAAGGAGAGAGCCGUCUAAGGUAGGACAGAUGAUUGGGGUGAAGUCGUAACAAGGUAUCCCUACGAGAACGUGGGGAUG
rnacentral:rRNA from 1 species